rnacentral:rRNA from 1 species
UACGUAGGUGGCAAGCGUUGUCCGGAUUUACUGGGCGUAAAGGGCGUGCAGGCGGUCUGUUAAGUGCAGGGUGAAAGCUCCCGGCUCAACUGGGAGAGGUCCUUGCAUACUGUCGGGCUAGAGUAGCGGAAGAGGCGAGUGGAAUUCCCGGUGUAGCGGUGAAAUGCGCAGAUAUCGGGAGGAACACCUAUGGCGAAGGCAGCUCGCUGGGACGUUACUGACGCUGAGACGCGAAAGCGUGGGGAGCAAACAGG